CUCCAGAAACAACUACGCAAAUCUGUGGAAAUGCAAUCUAACAAGCCUGCACCUGGGCCUCCUCCUCAUGGCUACGGGGGGCCUGGAUACCCAGGACCACAGCCACCGUAUGGCUACCCUCAAUAUGCCCCUGGACUAGGUUUUCAAGGAGCUCCAGGUGCUCCAGGACAGCCUCCUUAUAAUUUCCAAGGUUAUCAGCCAUCUUAUGGAGCUCCACCUCCCCAAGGUCAACCUAAUGCACCUGGUGUCACAAUUUGGAUGCCAGCACCACCUCCAAUUCCGAACUGUCCUCCUGGAUUAGAAUAUUUAAGCCAGAUUGAUCAGAUAUUAAUUCAUCAGCAGAUUGAACUUCUGGAAG